AUUGGAGGGAUUUUUCUGGUGCAGACGGAUUGAGUCCGGUUCUUUGCAGCCUUGGGGCAAGUACCUAUACGCCAGUCUAGAUCUGUCUAUAAACCACUGGCAUCAUUCUCACAGGCAGCAAAUGACUUUUCUGUCACUCUACCGCUCACUGAAGGACGUUUUCUGAAGGCAAAAGAAUGAGAUCAACGACUGUCAACUUCAUGCAACAGUUUGCGGAGAAUCCUGCCGAGAAAGAAGGCUUCAGUCUGUCAGCCUGUGAGCCGCCGAAUUCCCUCCAUCACAUCACACACUAUUAGAGGUUUUAGGCACAAAGUGGUUGUGUUCUGGUUCCAGUUCUGCACCGGUGUGGUUUGAUUUAUAUGCGGUUAAUGGAUGUUAUCCUGGUAUGGAUGGCCGAUUACAUAUGGCAUCACAACGCUGUUUCCAGCAGGAAGAACCGGAACAUGUGGAGUUUGGUCCAGUUCUUUGAUCUCAGAUCCAGACAAACACAAAGACUCCAUUGAUCGAAGCCAAAGGUGUCCUUGUUGAUUUCAUCUCCAUUGUGUGUUGAACCUCCAUUAGGAUGUUGUGGGACGCUCCAUGUAUCUUUUCCGUGGCCUGGCUGGGUGUUGACGAAAUGGUCUGUUGUAAAUAAAUGAUGAGCAGAUCUGUUUACAGACACGUACAAAAGCUUGAAGACAUUCCCAGGGUGUAGGAUACCCUGCCCGCAGGCCUUCGCCAUUCAUUCAGCAGCUUUUCUGUGAACAGAGGGAGAGAAAAAGAGAUCAAAAAGAGAAGAAUGGACUGUUGGUGAAGUUCAUGACCUCCUGACUGUGGCCCAGUGAUUUACUGCGUGUCCUGGAGUUCAUCGGCUGCGUUUGGCUCCAUCUCUACACAACUCCAGAUCUUCAUUCAUCAGGGGAGCGCGGCACGACGUUCCCGACAUCCUCAUCUCUCCCUUUCCUCUUUGUUCCCCAUCUGCUGUGGCUCAAGGCAAAUGAGGAGAUCGGUGGCUUUUGGGUGGACCGUACAUUCAGCUCGAUCCGGCCGGCUGCGCGAGAUGGAGGGAACCACGAGGUGACGGUGAUUAGCUUUGAGUGUUGAGUUUGGAUGGAGCUCCCAUUUUUCUCUUUUUGCAAUCCAAACGUGGACCUCCAGCCAUGUUGGUGGUGUUAAUAAAUGCAGCGUCCGGACGGCCACCAGACACAGGCCCCUUUCACCUGCCCUGCGGGACGUGCCAUCUUUCCGACAGACAGAAAAUAAACAGCAGCCUUGCAGGCGUUGAGAGACAGACAAAUGGCCCUCCAAAUCGAAAAGCAAUGAAAUAAAUGUUGGCGCCUGCAGCAGCUUGAGCUCAUUUGGACCUGAGAGGGUUUUGAUCCAUGCCAGCACUUUGGCAAUACAUUACUAUCGUACGCUUCAGAUUACUGGACAUGUAUGAAUCACGCACGCAUUGCAUUUACACACUGUAAAAAAAUAUUGUUGGUUUAACUUAAAAAAUUA